rnacentral:rRNA from 1 species
CAGUAGCCACGGUAAUACGUAGGGUGCAAGCGUUAAUCGGAAUUACUGGGCGUAAAGCGUGCGCAGGCGGUUUGUUAAGACAGAUGUGAAAUCCCCGGGCUCAACCUGGGAACUGCAUUUGUGACUGGCAAGCUAGAGUCUGGCAGAGGGGGGUGGAAUUCCGCGUGUAGCAGUGAAAUGCGUAGAUAUGCGGAGGAACACCGAUGGCGAAGGCAGCCCCCUGGGCCAACACUGACGCUCAUGCACGAAAGCGUGGGGAGCAAACAGGAUUAGAUACCCCCGUAGUCCCUGUCUCUUAUAC